AGUGAACGCUGGCGGUAGGCCUAACACAUGCAAGUCGAACGGCAGCACAGUAAGAGCUUGCUCUUACGGGUGGCGAGUGGCGGACGGGUGAGGAAUACAUCGGAAUCUACUUUUUCGUGGGGGAUAACGUAGGGAAACUUACGCUAAUACCGCAUACGACCUACGGGUGAAAGCAGGGGAUCUUCGGACCUUGCGCGAUUGAAUGAGCCGAUGUCGGAUUAGCUAGUUGGCGGGGUAAAGGCCCACCAAGGCGACGAUCCGUAGCUGGUCUGAGAGGAUGAUCAGCCAACCGGGAACUGAAAACGGGCCCAACCCCCUAGGGGAGGCAGCAGGGGGGAAUAUUGGAAAAGGGGCGAAACCCUGACCCAGCCAUCCCGCGGGGGUGAAGAAGGCCUUCGGGUUGUAAAGCCCUUUUGUUGGGAAAGAAAAGCAGCAGGUUAAAACCCCGCUGUUCUGACGGUACCCAAAAAAAAAGCACCGGCUAACUUCGU
rnacentral:rRNA from 1 species